ensembl:snoRNA
CUGGAAGUGAUGCACAUUGUGAAUAUUGAAGUUAUCUCAUGAUUCCCUUUGUAUUCAUACUGUCUGAUCCAG